UACGGGAGGCAGCAGUGGGGAAUUUUGGACAAUGGGCGAAAGCCUGAUCCAGCCAUGCCGCGUGCAGGAUGAAGGCGCUCUGCUUCGUAAACUCCUUUUAUGGGGGAAGAAGAUCUGACGGUACCCCAUGAAUAAGCCACGGCUAACUACGUGCCAGCAGCCGCGGUAAUACGUAGGUGGCAAGCGUUGUCCGGAAUUACUGGGCGUAAAGGGUGCGUAGGCGGAUAUUUAAGUAGAGAGUGAAAGGUUGGAGCUCAACUCCAACAUUGCUACCUAUACUGGAUGUCUUGAGUUUCGGAGAGGAAGAUGGAACGACACGUGUAGCGGUGAAAUGCGUUGAUAUGUGUCGGAACACCAAUAGCGAAGGCAAUCUUCUGGACGAACACUGACGCUGAGGCACGAAAGCAUGGGUAGCGAACAGGAUUAGAUACCCUGGUAGUCCAUGCCCUAAACGAUGUUCACUAGGUGUCGGGGAUUUUUCUUCGGUGCCGCAGCUAACGCAUUAAGUGAACCGCCUGGGGACUACGACCGCAAGGUUGAAACUCAAAGGAAUUGGCGGGGGCCCGCACAAGCGGUGGAGCAUGUGGCUUAAUUCGAUGCAACGCGAAGAACCUUACCAGGGUUUGACAUGUAGCUGCAAGCUGCCGAAAAGCAGUCGCUUUCGAAGGUGCUACACAGGUGGUGCAUGGCUGUCGUCAGCUCGUGUUGUGAAAUGUUGGGUUAAGUCCCGCAACGAGCGCAACCCUCAUGUUCUGUUGCCAGCGAGUAAUGUCGGGAACUCGGAACAAACUGCCUCUGUAAAGAGGAGGAAGGUGGGGAUGACGUCAAGUCUUCAUGCCCCUUACACCCUGGGCUGCACACAUGCUACAAUGGCCGGUACAAUGAGCAGCGAUACCGCGAGGUGGAGCAAAUCUCAAAAAGCCGGUCUCAGUUCGGAUUGGAGUCUGCAACUCGACUCCAUGAAGUCGGAAUCGCUAGUAAACGCCGGUCAGCAACACGGCGUUGAAUACGUUCCCGGGCCUUGCACACACCGCCCGUCAAGCCACGAAAGUUGGUCUCUCCCGAAGUCGCCGAGCUAACCGCAAGGAGGCAGGCGCCGAAGGAGCGGUCGAUGAUUGGGACUAAGUCGUAACAAGGUAACC
rnacentral:rRNA from 1 species